GUGGGUGUAGUUCAGUGGCUAGAGCGCCAGAUUGUGGCUCUGGAUGUCGUGGGUUCAAAUCCCACCACUCACCCCA
rnacentral:tRNA from 1 species